GAAACGACUGCUAAGACUGGAUAGGAAGAUAAAAGGCAUCUUUUAUCUUUUAAAAGACCUAGUAAUAGGUAUGCUUUAGGAGGGGCUUGCGCCAUAUUAGUUAGUUGGUAGGGUAAUGGCCUACCAAGACGAUGAUGUGUAGCUGGACUGAGAGGUUGAACAGCCACAUUGGGACUGAGACACGGCCCAAACUCCUACGGGAGGCAGCAGUAGGGAAUUUUCGGCAAUGGAGGAAACUCUGACCGAGCAACGCCGCGUGAAUGACGAAGUACUUCGGUAUGUAAAGUUCUUUUAUCAAGGAAGAAAAGCAAAUGGCGAACCAUUUGUUUGCCGGUACUUGAUGAAUAAGCCCCGGCUAAUUAUGUCCCAGCAGCCGCGGUAAGACAUAAGGGGCAAGUGUUAUCCGGAAUUAUUGGGCGUAAAGGGUGCGUAGGCGGUCUAGUAAGUCAGUGGUGUAAUGGCAACGCUUAACGUUGUCCGGCUAUUGAAACUGCUAAACUUGAGUUAGAUAGAGGCGAGUGGAAUUCCAUGUGUAGCGGUAAAAUGCGUAAAUAUAUGGAGGAACACCAGAGGCGUAGGCGGCUCGCUGGGUCUUAACUGACGCUGAGGCACGAAAGCGUGGGGAGCAAACAGGAUUAGAUACCCUGGUAGUCCACGCCGUAAACGAUGAGUACUAAGUGUCGGGUUAAACCGGUACUGAAGUUAACACAUUAAGUACUCCGCCUGAGUAGUACGUACGCAAGUAUGAAACUUAAAGGAAUUGACGGGACUCCGCACAAGCGGUGGAUCAUGUUGUUUAAUUCGAAGAUACCCGAAAAACCUUACCAGGUCUUGACAUGUUUUUGCAAAAUGAUAGUAAUAUCGUGGAGGUUACCAGAAACACAGGUGGUGCAUGGUUGUCGUCAGCUCGUGUCGUGAGAUGUUAGGUUAAGUCCUAAAACGAGCGAAACCCUUAUCGUUAGUUGCCAGCACGUUAUGGUGGGGACUUUAACGAGACUGCCAAUGAUAAAUUGGAGGAAGGUGAAGAUCACGUCAAAUCAGCAUGCCCCUUAUGACCUGGGCUACAAACGUGAUACAAUGGCUGUUACAAAGGGUAGCUGAAACGCAAGUUCUUGGCCAAUCCCCAAAAACAGUCCCAGUCCGGAUUGAAGUCUGCAACUCGACUUCAUGAAGUUGGAAUCGCUAGUAAUCGCGAAUCAGCAUGUCGCGGUGAAUACGUUCUCGGGGUUUGUACACACCGCCCGUCAAAC
rnacentral:rRNA from 1 species